UACGUAGGGUGCGAGCGUUGUCCGGAAUUACUGGGCGUAAAGCGCGCGUAGGUGGCUUCGUAAGUCCGUUGUGAAAGUCAAAGGCUCAACCUUUGAAAGCCGAUGGAUACUGCGGAGCUAGAGUACGGAAGAGGCGAGUGGAAUUCCUGGUGUAGCGGUGGAAUGCGCAGAUAUCAGGAGGAACACCAAUAGCGAAGGCAGCUCGCUGGGACGUUACUGACACUGAGGCGCGAAAGCGUGGGGAGCGAACAGG
rnacentral:rRNA from 1 species